rnacentral:rRNA from 1 species
GACGAACGCUGGCGGCGUGCUUAACACAUGCAAGUCGAACGGUGAAGCGCCUUCCUUUUUGGUGGGUGUGGAUGAGUGGCGAACGGGUGAGUAACACGUGAGUAACCUGCCCCCUUCUUCUGGAUAACCGCAUGAAAGUGUGGCUAAUACGGGAUAUUCUGGGUCUGUCGCAUGAUGGGUCUGGGAAAGAUAUUGUUUCGGUGGGGGAUGGGCUCGCGGCCUAUCAGCUUGUUGGUGGGGUGAUGGCCUACCAAGGCGGUGACGGGUAGCCGGCCUGAGAGGGUGGACGGUCACACUGGGACUGAGACACGGCCCAGACUGCUACGGGAGGCAGCAGUGGGGAAUAGUGCACAAUGGGCGCAAGCCUGAUGCAGCGACGCCGCGUGAGGGAUGGAGGCCUUCGGGUUGUGAACCUCUUUCGCCAGUGAAGCAGGCCUGCCUCGUUUGUGGGUGGGUUGACGGUAGCUGGAUAAGAAGCGCCGGCUAACUACGUG